AUACGGAGGGGGUUAGCGUUGUUCGGAAUUACUGGGCGUAAAGCGUACGUAGGCGGACUAGUAAGUUAGGGGUGAAAUCCCAGGGCUCAACCCUGGAACUGCCUCUAAAACUGCUAGUCUAGAGAUCGAGAGAGGUGAGUGGAAUUCCAAGUGUAGAGGUGAAAUUCGUAGAUAUUUGGAGGAACACCAGUGGCGAAGGCGGCUCACUGGCUCGAUACUGACGCUGAGGUACGAAAGUGUGGGGAGCAAACAGGAUUAGAAACCCCGGUAGUCC
rnacentral:rRNA from 1 species